rnacentral:rRNA from 1 species
ACGUAGUUAGCCGGGACUUAUUCCUGAGGUACCGUCAUUAUCGUCCCUCAGAAAAGGAUUUACAACCCGAAGGCCUUCAUCAUCCACGCGGCGUUGCUGCCUCAGGGUUUCCCCCAUUGGGCAAUAUUCCUCG